UUCUCAGGGCCCAUCGGGGCUGCUUUUCUCGGCUCUCAGCCACCUCCAUGUCUUCUCGGUCACUAAGGAAAAAAAAGAAUGGAAAAAGCAACUACAUGCAAUUAUUUUCUUAUAACUACAUAAAGAAAUUCUGGAAGGAUGCGUAAGAAAAUGAAGAUGGCCAUAUGGACAUAAGAACUGGACAGACGGGAGAAUGAGAGAGGGGGCAAUGGAGAAAGAGGCUCAAAGGAAUGAAUCACCACGGAAGUGCAAACUAAAAGCACCGUGAGAUUCCAUUACGUGUCCAUCGUGUAACGAAGAAUGGCUAAAACUUAAACAGCCUGACAUAUUCAAGUGCUGGUGAGCAUAGUGAGCAGCUUGGAACUCUCAUGCACCACUGCUGGGAGUAUAAGUAGGUACAGUCACUUGGGAAAACUGUUUGACAACAUCCGCUAAAGCUAAAACUAUGCCGUGAUCCAGGAGUCCCACACCUAGGCUAUACUUAAGAGAAAUGAGGUCCAAUGUCUUCCAAAAGGGAUGUACAAGACUGUUUUUGCUGUUUUACUCAUAAUAAUAACCCCCAACUGUAACCAACACAAAUGUCCACUCAUAGGAGAAUGAAUAGAUUGCAGCAUAUUCACCCAAUGGAACGCUACACAGAAAUUAAAAAAAGAACAACAGCUGGAACAACUGGUACCACAACAUUUUGUGAAUGAAAGAAGCCAAACCCAAAUGAGUAUGUACUUCGUGAUUCCAUUUAUAUAAGCUUCCAGAAAAGGAAGACGAAUCUAAGAAGAUGCAGAGCUGUGAUAACUUGGGGAUAGGGGGAUAUUGACCUGGAGGUGGGACAAGGAAAACACUCUUUAUCUCAGUCUGGGUGGUGAUUUCCUUAGAGUAUGUGUUUGUAAAAAUCCACCUAGCUCUCUUUCUCUUUUUUUUGCUUUUUAGGGCCACACCUGCAACAUAUGGAAAUUCCCAGGCUAUUGGUUGAAUCCGAGCUACAGCUGCCGGUAAUGCUGGAUCCCCAAUCCACUGAGCAAGGCCAGGGAUGGAACCUGCAUCCUCAUGGAUACUCGUUGGAUUCGUUUCCCGUGUGCCACAACAGGAACUCCCCAUCUAGCUCUUAAGAUCAGUGCCCCUCAAAACCACUUCAUUCUGGAACGUGAUGGAGGAUAAUGUGAGAAAGAGAAGGUAUAUAUACAUAUAUGUGAUUGAGUCACUUUGCUGUACAGUAGAAAGUUGACAGAACACUGUAAACCAACUAUAAUGGAAAAAAUACAAAUCAUUUAAAGUUAAAAAAAAAA
rnacentral:lncRNA from 1 species